rnacentral:rRNA from 1 species
UACGUAGGUGGCGAGCGUUGUCCGGAAUUAUUGGGCGUAAAGGGAGCGCAGGCGGGAGAUCAAGUCUAUCUUAAAAGUGCGGAGCUCAACCCCGUGAGGGGAUGGAAACUGGUCUUCUUGAGUGCAGGAGAGGAAAGCGGAAUUCCUAGUGUAGCGGUGAAAUGCGUAGAUAUUAGGAGGAACACCAGUGGCGAAGGCGGCUUUCUGGACUGUAACUGACGCUGAGGCUCGAAAGCGUGGGGAGCGAACAGG